AUAACUAUAAAUAAAAUCUGCUCAAUGUUUUUAAAUAGCCGCAGAAUUUUAACUGUGCUAAGGUAGCAUAAUCAUUUACCUUUUAAUUAAAGGUUUGUAUGAACGAUUUAACAAUUAAAUUACUUUUUUAUCAAUAAAAAUUUAAUUUAAACUAAGAAUAAAAAUGUUCUUAUUUUUAAAAAAGACGAUAAGACCCUAUUGAACUUUACUAAAGUUAAGCUGGGGAAGCUAAUUAAAUAUUAUUUUAAUUUAUUAACUUAAAUAUAUUUCUAAUAUAAUUAAAUAAAAUAAGUUACCAUAGGGAUAACAGCGUAAUAAUUUUUAAAAGUUCUUAUUAAAAAAAAUGGUUACGACCUCGAUGUUGAAUUAAAAUUACUUUAAAUCGCAAUGGAAUUAAAAGUAGGUCUGU
rnacentral:rRNA from 1 species